AUUGAACGCUGGCGGCAUGCUUUACACAUGCAAGUCGAACGGCAGCGCGGGCUUCGGCCUGGCGGCGAGUGGCGAACGGGUGAGUAAUACAUCGGAACGUGCCCAGUAGUGGGGGAUAGCUCGGCGAAAGCCGGAUUAAUACCGCAUACGACCUGAGGGUGAAAGCGGGGGAUCUUCGGACCUCGCGCUAUUGGAGCGGCCGAUGGCAGAUUAGCUCGUUGGUGGGGUAAAGGCCUACCAAGGCGACGAUCUGUAGCUGGUCUGAGAGGACGACCAGCCACACUGGGACUGAGACACGGCCCAGACUCCUACGGGAGGCAGCAGUGGGGAAUUUUGGACAAUGGGCGAAAGCCUGAUCCAGCAAUGCCGCGUGUGUGAUGAAGGCCUUCGGGUUGUAAAGCACUUUUGGCGGGAACGAAAAGGACUGUGCCAAUACCACGGUUCGAUGACGGUACCCGCAGAAUAAGCACCGGCUAACUACGUG
rnacentral:rRNA from 1 species